UACGUAGGGUGCAAGCGUUGUCCGGAAUUAUUGGGCGUAAAGAGCUCGUAGGCGGUCUGUCGCGUCUGCUGGGAAAACUCAGGGCUUAACCCUGAGCUUGCAGUGGGUACGGGCAGACUAGAGUGCGGUAGGGGAGAUUGGAAUUCCUGGUGUAGCGGUGGAAUGCGCAGAUAUCAGGAGGAACACCAAUGGCGAAGGCAGAUCUCUGGGCCGUAACUGACGCUGAGGAGCGAAAGCAUGGGGAGCGAACAGG
rnacentral:rRNA from 1 species